AACGAACGCUGGCGGCACGCCUAACACAUGCAAGUCGAACGAGAUCUUCGGAUCUAGUGGCGCACGGGUGCGUAACGCGUUGGAAUCUGCCCUUGGGUUCGGAAUAACAGUGAGAAAUUAGUGCUAAUACCGGAUGAUGUCUUCGGACCAAAGAUUUAUUGCCCAGGGAUGAGCCCGCGUAGGAUUAGCUAGUUGGUGGGGUAAUGGCCUACCAAGGCGACGAUCCUUAGCUGGUCUGAGAGGAUGAUCAGCCACACUGGGACUGAGACACGGCCCAGACUCCUACGGGAGGCAGCAGUGGGGAAUAUUGGACAAUGGGCGAAAGCCUGAUCCAGCAAUGCCGCGUGAGUGAUGAAGGCCUUAGGGUUGUAAAGCUCUUUUACCAGGGAUGAUAAUGACAGUACCUGGAGAAUAAGCUCCGGCUAACUCCGUGCCAGCAGCCGCCGUAA
rnacentral:rRNA from 1 species